UACGGGGGGGGCAAGCGUUGUUCGGAAUUACUGGGCGUAAAGGGCUCGUAGGCGGCCAACUAAGUCAGACGUGAAAUCCCUCGGCUUAACCGGGGAACUGCGUCUGAUACUGGAUGGCUUGAGUUUGGGAGAGGGAUGCGGAAUUCCAGGUGUAGCGGUGAAAUGCGCAGAUAUCAGGAGGAACACCAAUGGCGAAGGCAGCACUCUGGGACGUGACUGACGCUGAGACGCGAAAGCGUGGGGAGCAAACAGG
rnacentral:rRNA from 1 species